CCUACGGGAGGCAGCAGUGAGGAAUAUUGGUCAAUGGACGAGAGUCUGAACCAGCCAAGUCGCGUGAAGGAUGACUGCCCUAUGGGUUGUAAACUUCUUUUAUAUGGGAAUAAAAUGGUCCACGUGUGGGAUUUUGUAUGUACCAUAUGAAUAAGGAUCGGCUAACUCCGUGCCAGCCGCCGCGGUAAUACGGAGGAUCCGAGCGUUAUCCGGAUUUAUUGGGUUUAAAGGGAGCGUAGGUGGAUUGUUAAGUCAGUUGUGAAAGUUUGCGGCUCAACCGUAAAAUUGCAGUUGAAACUGGCAGUCUUGAGUACAGUAGAGGUAGGCGGAAUUCGUGGUGUAGCGGUGAAAUGCUUAGAUAUCACGAAGAACUCCGAUUGCGAAGGCAGCUCACUGGACUGCAACUGACACUGAGGCUCGAAAGUGUGGGUAUCAAACAGGAUUAGAUACCCGAGUAGUC
rnacentral:rRNA from 1 species